ensembl:lncRNA
UCUGUCUUUCUUGCAUAGUUUUUACAAAAUCAUAUUGUGAAAGAAUACUACAAAAUAGGUACAGCUAUUUGCUAGCAGAUUUUAAUGCGAAACUCUACUAACUAGAGCUACUCUAAAGGACGUGUAUUAUUGAAAGUGUCAGUUGGAUGUGUUGGCAGGGACAUUUUUACUACGUCCUUAAACUCUGCUAUACUAGGUGUGGUUGGAAUGGGUUAAAAGCGUAAGAUUGGCAAGGAGGAUAAGAACUGAAGACUGGUGAAGAGGAUUGUAAACAUGUUCAAGUGACCUUGCAGCUGCAAUGGCCUAAAGCCUGGAGAGCAGUCAUAUAGGAAAACACAUAUAUUGUACCUACUGUUGUUUAUCUUCUGUGUAUUUGACAAGUAGAACAUCUGUAUAUAGAUCACAUAGGUGCGUGGUAGACUUGGAGGCACCUGUUGGACACACUUGAGCUCCCUGCCUUGUUAUGGAGAUCAGACCACAGUGAAGAUCACAGUACAGUGGUAAACAACGCUUGUGCAAACCCUUGAUCAGCAGGUGGAAACAACAGGAUCCAAUAGCAUGGACUGAGCUUAGCAGUGCCUGCAGCCUCACUUGUGAACCUCUACCCAGGUGCUGCUUCAGGAAUCCCCUGGUUGGCGAAGUAACAAAAAUAUUUUUUCUUUGCAUUUCAGCAGUGGGUCUGUGGUUGUUUCUGCUGCCUGCCUGUCUGUGUGGACUGACACAUUGGGUGUAGCUGGCAGGAUCAUGGAGCUCCCAGUGGUGACUUCCCACAUUCUGGGACAGCCCAGCACUGAGCAUUGGUGCUGUGUGGCUACUUUCCUAGCUACCAUGGUUCUGAUGGAACCAUGGCCUGAAACAAAUGUCACAGUAGUGGUUACCCCCUAGACAAUUGAGACAGUUGUGUAUAGAUUGUCACAGAAAGGGACAUCAGAGUUUUCUUGCAAGUUAGCUGGGAGAUUAGGAUAGUUGUUACUUACAGUCAUAGAGCUCAUGACUGUGAAGUUGUCACAUUAUGGAGUAAAAUGAGAGUGGGAAAGGGUAGUCAAGACUUUACAGGAUGUGAUGGUCAUUACACAAGAACUAAUUACUACUGAUGAAGAGCACUGUUGUGGACUGCAAGGCAUUGCAGGACAGCACGUGGAAGGCACAGGUAUGGAAAAUGGUAGGUUUUGAUUUCCAUGAAAUCUUCAUGGGAUCCCAAGGAACAGUGUAGAAAUAUAUGAGUGAAUCCUUGGAUUCUGAGAUUGAAUUUGAGUCAGAGUUAGAAGACCAGGAAGUGAUAGCAGCACAGCAGCUGCUUUGGCAGCAAAUGCAAGAACAGCAGAAAUUAAAGUUUGGCAGGUCCCCCUUCACUACCUUUACCAUGCUUCUUACCAUGAGGGAGAGCAAUGACCCCAUGUUCUUUUAUCUAUCACAUGGUGAUCUGGAGGGAUUUUACAAGCUGGAUUUUACACCUUAAAAUGCUGUUCCCAGUUUGGAGGCAUAACUGAUGGAGCAGCUGGCAUUGAGGAUGAUGUUCAACAUCUCUAGGACUUGACUUAAUGCAUCAAGUGAAACAAUCUACCAGUGGUGCCUGGUGAGCUGAGUGGUUCAUUGCCUUCAAUGAGACAUUUAAUUCAAAACAGUAUUGUAGGAAUAUGUUUAUUCCUUUUCCUGUAUGUUCAUUACACACCUCUGUAAAUUACCCUCUCCCACACUGCCACCCCCAGCAGUAGUGUUCUCUUGAGCAAAGGGGGUCAAAAUGGGGGAGAAAUGGAUUAAAAGUGGAAGAUUGGCAAGGAGUAUUGUAAACACGCUCAAGCUGGCAACACGCAGUCUGGAGAGUAGUCAUAAAGGAAAAUACAUAAAUCAUACUGUUUGUGUUUGACAAGUGUUUGACAAGUAGAAUACUUAUGUAUAGGCAACAUAGGUAGGGAAGCUUUAUUAAACAUGGUUGAGCUCCCUGCUUUACUAAGGAGAAGAUCAAAGCACAGAAGUAAACUGCACCUCAACAGGCAUAAACAGUAGGCUUGUAAUUCUUUAUCACGGACCAAGCUCAGUGGUGUCUGUAUCUCUACCCCUGUGCCUUUGAGUGCUGCUGUAGGGAUCCCCAGGCUGGCAAUGAAAUACACGUACUGCUUUCAGCUGUGGGUCUCAGUUGUUCUUGCUGCCUGCGCUGCUGACUCGCACAGCAGCUGAAGCAAGCAAAGUCUGCAGUUUCAGGAAGGUGGUGAGAAACAAUGGAGGCUUUCUGAAGAGAUUUCCUCAAAGAUGUGAUUGUCCUACCGUGAAGGUAAAAAACUGCACUAUCCUUCCCUGAGUAACAGCC